UUAGGGAGCUCAAGCAGAAGCAGACGGUUGACUCGAGUGAUGAUACAUACACAGCUCUGAAUCCUGAGUCCAGAACAUCUGAUGACAUUUACAACACAAUCAGAUCUGAUCAGUGCAGGGCUGCUGAUGGCGUCUACACGACUCUUGAGCUUCAGUCCAGAUCUUCUGAAUAUGACACACUUACAGUAAACACACAUUAAACUCUGACAGACUGCACUGUACACCUAUGUAAUGUUG